rnacentral:rRNA from 1 species
CACGUAGGCGGUUGGGUAAGCCUCUUGGGAAAUCUUCCGGCCUAACCGGAAAAGGUCGAGGGGAACUGCUCAGCUAGAGGACGGGAGAGGAGCGCGGAAUUCCCGGUGUAGCGGUGAAAUGCGUAGAUAUCGGGAAGAAGGCCGGUGGCGAAGGCGGCGCUCUGGAACGUACCUGACGCUGAGGUGCGAAAGCGUGGGGAGCAAACA